CAGUCACAUCACGUUGAAAUACCGGUUUCCGUACGAUCAACGAAGUUAAGCAACCUCGAGCCUGGUCAGAACCUAGAUGUGUUCCCGUUUUGAGAAUACCAGGUGUUGUAAG